rnacentral:rRNA from 1 species
ACUCCUACGGGAGGCAGCAGUGGGGAAUAUUGCCACAAUGGGCGCAAGCCUGAUGCAGCCAUGCCGCGUGUGAUGAAGAAGGCCCUUCGGGGUUGUAAAGUACUUUCAGCAGUGAGGAAGGCGGGUACGUUAAUAGACGUGCUCCGUUUGACGUUAGCUGCAGAAGAAGCACCGGCUAACUCCGUGCCAGCAGCCGCGGUAAUACGGAGGGUGCGAGCGUUAAUCGGAAUUACUGGGCGUAAAGCGCAUGCAGGUGGUUUGUUAAGUCAGAUGUGAAAGCCCGGGGCUUAACCUCGGAAUAGCAUUUGAAACUGGC